GAUGAACGCUGGCGGCGGGCCUAAUACAUGCAAGUCGAACGGAAAGGCGCUGCUUUUGUGGGGUGCGCGAGUGGCGAGGGGGUGUGUAACACGUGUGUAACCCCUCCUUGAGUUUGGUAUAACUUCAGGAAACAGGGGCUAAUAGCGUAUAGGAACUCCUGCUCCAUGUGGGGGGUUGGAAAGUUUGGGGGGUUGGGGAUGGACUCGCGGCUUAUCAGCUUGUGGGGGGGGUAGUGGCUUACCAGGGCUUUGACGGGUAGCGCGCCUGAGAGGGUGACCGGGCACCGUGCGAGUGAGAUACGGGCCAGACUAGUAAGGGAGGCAGCAGUAGGGAAUAUUGCACAAUGGGGGCAAGCCUGAUGCAGCAACGCCGCGUGAGGGAUGGCGGACUUCGGGUAGACAACAACUUUCGCAGGUAACGAAGCGUGAGUGACGGUACUGGAUAAAGAAGCACCGGCUAACUACGUG
rnacentral:rRNA from 1 species